CCUCACACCCGCGGGGCAGCUCAGGCAUGGAGCCCCCUGGUGGAGCCCGUCCCUUCCCUUGGAGAGGCUCAGCGGAGUCAGUGAAACUCUCCCUACAGGUGGGACUCUGGAGCCUGCGGGCCCUGUAAGGAAGAAAAGCAGGUGGGAAAGUGAGCAAGGCCCCCCAAGCCAGGCUGGGAGCACAGCGCAUAAAAGGCCUUGUUGGAGCUCCUGUGAAACCGGCUAUGUUACGAUUGAAAAUUGAAAAGUCCAAGGCUACUCUAGUCUGAAAGAAAGAGGGCAGCCUCAAACAACGAGCUAACAAUGAGAUUCAGAAGAUCUUCAGAAAAACAUUUACCACCAAUAAACAGACUCCAACCUGC
rnacentral:lncRNA from 1 species